rnacentral:antisense_RNA from 1 species
CGCGCCGGGCUUUCCUCGCGCCUGUCGAAGUCCGGCCUUCCCGCUCGGGUGUCUCGCCCUCUCUCUUCUCCGCGGGGCAGGAGGCAGUGGCGAGAAAAGGAGCUGCCGGCCGGAGUUCUAGCACCGAGAAGGAGAGUACUAGAAUACCUGAGUUUUGGCUGGGCACAGAACUGUCUGGAAUACAGACUACAAUUCCCAGCCUUCUGUGCAGUUCUGUGUGGCCAUGUGACUAAGUUGUGAUCAAUAUGAGUCACAGAAGAAUAGAAGAACAACUCAGAGGAGGAGGAAGUCAGACAUAGCCAGACGCGGCUGCUAGCAGUUCCACCAAUGAAAGAGGAGACCGGGAUGUUUAAAACAGGCAAACACAAGGUGCGAAAAACCAGAAGUGAAAACUUCUGAGGUCAUUUAAGCAGGGACUGUCGUUAUUCCCGGAAGCAGAGAGAAGUUCAGUCCCUUGCCCAACAUCACACUGCAAGCAUGCGUUGGAGCUGAGAUUCAAACCCAGGCAUCCAGGGUCCAGGGCCCAUGCUCUUAACAUAUUCCAUAUCUUAGGAUAAUUUCCCCUAUUUAAACAAUAAAAGUGCAAAAAUCUUGUGGCUAGCCAAAA